CCUACGGGUGGCAGCAGUGAGGAAUAUUGGUCAAUGGACGGAAGUCUGAACCAGCCAUGCCGCGUGCAGGAAGACGGCUCUAUGAGUUGUAAACUGCUUUUGUACAAGGGUAAACCUGAAUACGUGUAUUCAGCUGAAAGUACUGUACGAAUAAGGAUCGGCUAACUCCGUGCCAGCAGCCGCGGUAAUACGGAGGAUCCAAGCGUUAUCCGGAUUUAUUGGGUUUAAAGGGUGCGUAGGCGGAUUGAUAAGUUAGAGGUGAAAUGUCCGAGCUUAACUCGGGAACUGCCUCUAAUACUGGUGGUCUAGGGAGUAGAUGCGGUAGGCGGAAUGUAUGGUGGAGCGGUGAAAUGCUUAGAGAUCAUACAGAACACCGAUUGCGAAGGCAGCUUACCAAUCUAUAUCUGACGUUGAGGCACGAAAGCGUGGGGAGCAAACAGGAUUAGAUACCCUUGUAGUC
rnacentral:rRNA from 1 species